AGUCUGAACGUGGCCCACGGUACGUAUACGUAUCCAUCAGAUAGAAAAGGCAUCGAGCAGCCGCAUGCUGAAAUAAUGAAGCAGCAAGGACUCGACUCGACUCAGCACAAGGCAAGGCAAGGCAAGGCAUGGCAUGGCAAGGAAAGGCACUGAUGGCAAGGAUGGCAACGAUGGCAGGCAAGGAUACGAGGAUAGCCAGGCAGAGGAAGACUUGGCCAGAAUGAAAACGAAAAUGGAAAAUGUGUACGGGUCUGUCUCGCAGUUGCCGCGUGUAUAUGUGUGCGGCUCUGUGAAAGGACGACAAGGAUAUUGCGCACGAGGACAGGAUGGCUGCCUGACUGCCUUGCCUUACCAUUCCGUUCCUUGCCUCGCCUUGGUGUUGAUGAUGAUUACAGAGAUGCGCAGAGAUAGAAGCGAGCUGAACUGAAGCUGAAUCUGAGGAUGUGUCCACACUGAGAGAAAUGCAGCAACUAGCCGUCGGAUAUUUUCGCAUACAUUAUUUUUAUUUCGUCGAGAACU
rnacentral:lncRNA from 1 species